GGAGAUGUGGCCGAGUGGUCGAAGGCGCUCCCCUGCUAAGGGAGUAGGCCCGGAAGGGUCUCGAGGGUUCGAAUCCCUUCAUCUCCGCCA
rnacentral:tRNA from 1 species